rnacentral:rRNA from 1 species
GGGGAAUUUUGGACAAUGGGGGCAACCCUGAUCCAGCCAUGCCGCGUGAGUGAAGAAGGCCUUCGGGUUGUAACGCUCUUUCGGACGGAAAGAAAACGGAUGGGUUAAUACCCUGUUCGGAUGACGGUACCGUAAGAAUAAGCACCGGCUAACUACGUGCCAGCAGCCGCGGUAAUACGUAGGGUGCGAGCGUUAAUCGGAAUUACUGGGCGUAAAGCGUGCGCAGGCGGUUGAUUAAGCACAGGCGUGAAAUCCCCGGGCUUAACCUGGGAACUGCGCUUGUGACUGGUCGGCUAGAGUACGGCAGAGGGGGGUGGAAUUCCACGUGUAGCAGUGAAAUGCGUAGAUAUGCGGAGGAACACCGAUGGCGAAGGCAGCCUCCUGGGCCAGUACUGACGCUCAUGCACGAAAGCGUGGGGAGCAAACA